AUCAGAUUAAAGCCAAUGUUUCUUUUGAAACUUGUAAAUGAUGACUCUGGGUAAAUUAACAGAUUGCACCGCCAUUGAGUGGGUGACGUUGAUUGGAAGUGUCUGACCUAUCAACUUUUGAUGGCAGUUAAUGUUACUGCCAAGGUUGUAACGGGUAACGGGGAAUCAGGGUUUGAUUCCGGAGAGAGAGCAUGAGAAAUGGCUGUCACAUCCAAGGAAGGCAGCAGGCGCGAAAAUUACCCAAUCCCUGAUCGGGGAGGUAGUGACGAGAAAUAGCGAUGCCGCGAUCUUAGGAUUCGGCAAUUGAAAUGAGAACAAUGAAAUGAUUUUAUCGAGAAUCUAUUGGAGGGCAAGUUCUGGUGCCAGCAGCCGCGGUAAUUCCAGCUCGAAAAGCGUAUGUUAAUGCUGCUGCGGUUAAAACGCUCGUCGUUGGACAUCAGGAAAUGAAUUGUAGACAACCUAGUGUUGAUACUACAAUUUCACUCCUUAUAAUGCUUGUUCAUUGUCGAUGCACUUUAUUGUGUGUCACAUAAGAAAGCUAAUGUCACUUUGAGAAAAUUAGUGUGCUCAAAGCAAGCUUAAUGCUUGAAUAAUGUUGCAUAGGAUGACGUAAUAGGGCCUCGGUUCUGUUUCGUUGGUUUACGAAAGCAGAGGUCAUGAUUAAUCGGGACAGACGGGGGCAUUCGUAUUGUGGUGCUAGAAGUGAAAUUCUGUGACCAUCGCAAGACGGACAACUGCGAAAGCAUUUGCCAAGAAUGUUUUCAUUAAUCAAGAACGAAAGUUAGAGGAUCGAAGACGAUUAGAUACCGUCCUAGUUCUAACUGUAAACUAUGCCAACUGGGGAUUCGCCAAUGCAAUUUAGCUUGGCGAGCACCCUUCGGGAAACCAAAGUGAUUGGGUUCCGGGGGGAGUAUGGUUGCAAAAUCGAAACUUAAAGGAAUUGACGGAGGGGCACACCAGAAGUGGAGCCUGCGGCUUAAUUUGACUCAACGCACAAAAGCUUACUCGGUCCGAACACCGUGAGGAUUGACAGGUUGAAAGCUCUUUCUUGAUCUAGUGGGUGGUGGUGCAUGGCCGUUCGUAGUUGGUGAAGUGAUUUGUCUGGUUUAUUCCGAUAACGAACGAGACUCUAGCCUAC
rnacentral:rRNA from 1 species